CUACAGGCUUAACACAUGCAAGUCGAGGGGCAGCAUGGUCUUAGCUUGCUAAGGCUGAUGGCGACCGGCGCACGGGUGAGUAACACGUAUCCAACCUGCCGUCUACUCUUGGCCAGCCUUCUGAAAGGAAGAUUAAUCCAGGAUGGCAUCAUGAGUUCACAUGUCCGCAUGAUUAAAGGUAUUUUCCGGUAGACGAUGGGGAUGCGUUCCAUUAGAUAGUAGGCGGGGUAACGGCCCACCUAGUCAACGAUGGAUAGGGGUUCUGAGAGGAAGGUCCCCCACAUUGGAACUGAGACACGGUCCAAACUCCUACGGGAGGCAGCAGUGAGGAAUAUUGGUCAAUGGGCGAUGGCCUGAACCAGCCAAGUAGCGUGAAGGAUGACUGCCCUAUGGGUUGCAAACUUCUUUUAUAAAGGAAUAAAGUCGGGUAUGCAUACCCGUUUGCAUGUACUUUAUGAAUAAGGAUCGGCUAACUCCGUGCCAGCAGCCGCGGUAAUACGGAGGAUCCGAGCGUUAUCCGGAUUUAUUGGGUUUAAAGGGAGCGUAGAUGGAUGUUUAAGUCAGUUGUGAAAGUUUGCGGCUCAACCGUAAAAUUGCAGUUGAUACUGGAUGUCUUGAGUGCAGUUGAGGCAGGCGGAAUUCGUGGUGUAGCGGUGAAAUGCUUAGAUAUCACGAAGAACUCCGAUUGCGAAGGCAGCCUGCUAAGCUGCAACUGACAUUGAGGCUCGAAAGUGUGGGUAUCAAACAG
rnacentral:rRNA from 1 species